rnacentral:rRNA from 1 species
CGCGUAGGCGGCUCUGUUUGUCGCGUGUGAAAGCCCCGGGCUCAACCUGGGAGGUGCGCGCGAGACGGCGGGGCUGGAGUUCGGGAGAGGAGCGUGGAAUUCCCAGUGUAGAGGUGAAAUUCGUAGAUAUUGGGAAGAACACCGGUGGCGAAGGCGGCGCUCUGGACCGAGACUGACGCUGAGGCGCGAAAGCGUGGGGAGCAAACAGGAUUAGAUACCCUGGUAGUCCACGCUGUAAACGAUGUGUGCAAGACGUUGGGAGGCCUAGCCUCUCGGUGUCGCAGCCAACGCGGUAAGCACACCGCCUGGGGAGUACGGCCGCAAGGUUAAA